CAGAGUGAAAAAGAGGCACGCGUUCAUAGAAAGUGAAUAUAAAGCUUGCAUAGAAAUAGUCUGACCUGUUCAGUUUAAAGAAAUGUAAUACUGACCACAAGGUCUCUUUCUCUUUCCAUUUUUAUGGCCAAAAAUUCCAAGCCUGCGGGUAGGAAUUCCAGUCCUUAUCGAUAUAAUCGAUACACUGGAAAACAAUUGAUGUGAGUAAAAGUCUUCAAAUAUUUUUGGUUUUCAUCAGCAACGUCCACUUCUAAGAAUUUAAACGAAGAGAAUGAUAAAAAUAUUGUCACAAACAUUCAUGAACAACGGUGAUCAUCACAGCUGUUAUUUAUAAUUAUGAACACUUGCAGGAAAGCAAAAUUAUAGCAGUAGGGGUUUGGAAAUGAUUUAGUUGUUGAGAUCGUAAUUCUCCCUGGUACAUGUUACCCUAGAAUAAGUGAAAUUGCCAGCUUUAAAAACGAUACACAGUCUUCAAUUUUGUAAACACCAAAUAUGUGCAGUUUUGUAAAAGACUUAAGAUAUGCACUAAAUAUGAAUGUUUUUCAUCAU